UGAAAAAGCAGAGCGACUCGGUUAAGGGA
rnacentral:piRNA from 5 species